rnacentral:rRNA from 1 species
GGGGGGGGGGGGGGGGGGGGGGGGGGGGGGGGGGGGGGGGGGCGGGGGGGGGGGGGGGGGGGGGUGGGGGGGGGGGGGGGGGGGCGGGGGAGGGAUGCAUCGGGGGCUCCUUUUUAGGGGGGGGUAGCGUGGGGAGAGGGACGAUAGUACCGCAUACGCCCUACGGGUGACGGCAGGGGCUCGUCGCACCUUGCGCGGUUGACUUCGCCGAUGUCGGAUGAGCUAGUCGGCGGGGUACAGGCCCACCAAGGCGACGAUCCGUAGCUGGUCUGUGAGGAUGAGCAGCCACACUGGAACUGGGACACGGGCCAGACUCCUACGGGAGGCAGCAGUGGGGAAUAUUGGACAAUGGGCGCAAGCCUGAUCCAGCCAUACCGCGUGGGUGAAGAAGGCCUUCGGGUUGUAAAGCCCUUUUGUUGGGAAAGAAAAGCAGCAGGUUAAUACCCCGCUGUUCUGACGGUACCCAAAGAAUAAGCACCGGCUAACUUCGUG